CAUUUCACAUGGCACUCAGUUAUAAUGAUUGCAUUUGCAAGAAACCAGUGCAGAUUUCAAGAGUUUUGAAAAUUGUCCUUUUGUUCUCAGAUGCAAUGGCCAGAGGAGCUUGCAUAUCCGCGCGCUUACAUCUGGAGACCAGGAAGCUCUCCCGGACGGGCCGGCUCAUCGACUUCAUAGAGAAAAUCUGAUGGUCUCUUCACAGACAUAGGGUCAAGAACAAGCUCAAAAACUGGUAUGAGAAGAUUGUUAAGGAGAAGAAACCACAAAGUGUAGAAAGACAGAAGCCAACAAUAUCUCUUCCAUCAUGUAUAUCAACUAGAAGAAGGCCUGAGUUGGAAAACGGGAAAGUAUUGAAUCAAGCUCAUUUUGUAUUAACAUCUUACACUUGGCAACUCUGAUUUUUUUUUUUUUAUUGAGAUGGGGUUUGUUUCUUAAAAGAGAUGGUAGGAUAUGUUAAUAACUAAGUAAGAGCGGAGAAGUUAUGGAAGAUACUCAAGUUCUGAUUCACUAGCAAGAGAUAAUUACUCUCACUGAUGUCUGAAAUAAAGCUGAGGGAGACAGUAA